AUGGAUAAAGUGGGAAAAAUGUGGAAUAACUUCAAAUACAGGUUUCAGAAUCUCUUUGGUCAUGAGGCAGGAAGCCGUAGUGAAAAUGUGGACAUGAACUCCAAUAGAUGUUUGUCUGUCAAAGAGACGAACAUCAGCGUAGGAGACUCAACUCCUCAGCAACAAAGCAGUCCCUUAAGAGAAAAUGUUGCCUUACAACCGGGAUUAAGCCCUUCAGAGAAUUCUUCAAGGAGAAAUCAAAAUCGUGCCACCGAAAUCCCUCAAACUGUUGAAAUAAGCAUUGAAAAGGAUAAUGAGUCCGGUGUUACCCCGGGAAAAAGGCUUGCACGAAGAGAUUCCUACUCUCGACAUGCUCCAUGGGGUGGGAAGAAAAAACAUUCCUGUUCUACAAAGACCCAGAGUUCAUUGGAUACUGAUAAAAAGUUUGGUGGAACUCGAAGUGGACUUCAAAGGAGAGAGUGGCGCUACGGCGUAAGUUCUGUACACGACAUGGACAGUGCUUCCAGCAGAACUGUAGGAAGUCGCUCUCUGAGACAGAGGUUGUGGGCUUGUGUUUUCCCAUGAGAGCUUACUGCAAGCACUCAAAGCCUCUCCUUUCCAAUGAAACAAAAAUUCAUCUUUUUGAAUUAAUGCUUGAGAAAUGCCCCUUUCCUGCUGGCUCAGAUUUAGCCCCAAAAUGGCAUUUGAUUAAACAGCAUACAGUUCCUAUAUUCAACAUUUUUUGAUACAUUUGAUCCAUCUUUAGUUUCUAGAAGAUGAAGAUAGGCUUAGAGAGAGAAGGCGGCUUAGUACUGAAGAAGGGGUUGAUCCCCUCGCAAUGCGCAAAUACAUACGUUUGAAGCUACUGCACAGGUUAAUCCAUUAUGUAAACUGAGACCACAGUUAGCUCCUGGAAUGACUGAAAUAACUGGGGACAGUUCUGCAAUUCCACAAGCUAAAUAUGACUCGGAAGAGGAUACAACCACCCUGUGUUUGCAGUCACGGAAGCAGAAGAAUCGUUAGGUAUCUCGAGACAGCCAUGCUCGUGUUAGCAGACAGAGAGCUUGGAAAGUCCACACACAGACUGAUUACAUACACUGUCUAGCGCCUGAUUUGCUUCAAAUUACAGAGAAUCCCUAUUAUUGGGGAGUGAUGGACCGUUAUGAAGCAGAAGGCCUUCUUGAAGUGAAACCUGAGGCCUGAAAGCGCGUUUUUGCUCAGGGACGCUGCGCAAGAGGACUACCUCUUCUCUGUGAGCUUAGCGAGGCAACAGAUCCCUGCAUGCCCGAAUUGAGCAGUGAAAUCACAACUUUAGUUUUGAUGCCCAUGAUUCGUGUGUAUUUCACUCCUCCACUGUAACAGGACUUUUAGAACAUUAUAAAGAUCUCAGUUAGUGCAUGUUUUUUGAACCAUUGCUUACCAUAUCACUCAAUGGGACUUUUAGCCUGAAGUAUAUCGGUGGCGCGGAAAUCUACAGGUGCACUAAGUAUGAUGUGAUUGAUGGGCUCCCUUUACCCUCCAUGUUACAGGAUUUUUUAAAAGAGUAUCAUUAUAUACAAAAAGUUAGAGUUCGCUGGUUAGAAUGAGAACCAUUCAAGGCAAAGUAA
rnacentral:lncRNA from 1 species